AGAUUGAACGCUGGCGGAAUGCUUUACACAUGCAAGUCGAACGGCAGGCACGGGGCAACCUGGUGGCGAGUGGCGAACGGGUGAGUAAUACAUCGGAACGUGCCCAAUCGUGGGGGAUAACGUAGCGAAAGUUACGCUAAUACCGCAUACGAUCUACGGAUGAAAGCGGGGGAUCGCAAGACCUCGCGCGAAUGGAGCGGCCGAUGUCAGAUUAGGUAGUUGGUGGGGUAAAGGCUCACCAAGCCAACGAUCUGUAGCUGGUCUGAGAGGACGACCAGCCACACUGGAACUGAGACACGGUCCAGACUCCUACGGGAGGCAGCAGUGGGGAAUUUUGGACAAUGGGCGCAAGCCUGAUCCAGCCAUUCCGCGUGCAGGAUGAAGGCCUUCGGGUUGUAAACUGCUUUUGUACGGAACGAAACGGUCUGCCCUAAUACGGCGGGCUAAUGACGGUACCGUAAGAAUAAGCACCGGCUAACUACGUG
rnacentral:rRNA from 1 species